AGGAGGGUGCAGGAGUAGAGAGAGAGAGAGACCAGAGAGCAGCCAUGGAAAGCAGAGAGCGACAUGGCGGCCAGGCGAAACAAAGGGGGGACGUGUCUGUGUGAGGCAAGGACUAACACUGGGAUGAGACAUAAUUUAUGGCGAGUGCUGUUUGAUUAUAGGACAGUGACGGUGAAACCACUGCUUAGCAGCAGAAUGUUGGGUUCAUUUGGCAUGACAGCCCUGUACUGACUGUACAUGUGGUAAAUAUAACAUUAAAGGUAAGUUAAUAGCCACUGUCAAAAUGGAUUUUAACAGGUUGCCCUGUUUGAAUUUCACUGCUCUGUUCAGAUUUUCUUUUAAGUACAUUACUUGAGUGUGUGUUUAUCAAGUCAAGCUUUUUACUCAGAAAUGAAUCCAAGCAUCCUGGAACUCAAAUUCUUUUUUGAUUAUUUCAUUUCUUUCCUUUUUUUUUCUUGGAGAAAGACCAUACUAUGCUUUUUGGGAACCUGGCAGCUUAUGUUUUCAAAGCUAGAGGUCAACAUAACACUCAGUAUUAAUAAAACAAAUACGACUGGAUGGAUAUUCAUGAUGAUAUAUACAGAUGUACUGUGCAUGAGCUUGAAUCAUGUGUGAGAGAGUGCUGAAGGAGAGCAAAGGGGGAGACACUCUCAUGCGUUUGUGUGUUUACUUGUCUCCGUGUGUGUGAUAGCCAAGUCAGUUUCUCUCAGAUGUUCCCUUUGACCUUUGACCUAAGACUUGGGGUCAAGCCCUGACAAAUGAGAUGGUCGAGUUUUGGCCAGAACUGCAAACAUUCCACAACAAUCUUGUGUCCUCCUCCCCUCUCCUCAUAUCCGUCAUUCCUCACCCCUUCAUUCCUCUCACUAUGUCUCUUCCUCUCAACUUAGAGACAGAGAAAGUUCUCACUGCACACAAACAUGUUUUAUUGUAUUUGCUGUGGGGAUCUUAAAGCACGUGUCAAAUUAAGAAUUACAGCAUUAGUUAAAUUUUAUAUCCCUGACAUAAACCCUGUUUACAGAAGUUGAGAAAACAAAAGAGUGUGAUCACAGAGGAGAAGCUGUGUUGAAAAUUUGGAUAUUACAACUCUGCACUUUGAAAGCACACUGUGCGUGUUUGGAAAGCUUGUCAGUGAUGUCAAGGAUGAGAAAUGUUGCAGUGUGGUUUUUUACACACGCUGCUGGCUCUAGCAUUUCCGGCAACAUUUCUCACUCUGCCUCCCUCACACCAUCCGCUCUACUGCAAUAUCCCCACAUUUUUCCAUCUUUUCACUUCUUCCCCUACCCUCCCUCUCUCCCUUCCUCCCUCCCCACUCGCCUUCUCUCUGUUCUCUGACCACUCUUGCUCCCUUUACCCUUCCUCUCCUCUGCCCCACCCUGCCCGAUCUCAACCUUUCCCUCCCUUCUUCUCUUCUUCCAGCACGCUCACCAACCCCCCUCGCUUUUUCCUCCACCCACAAUUUUCUCUGAUUUUCUAACAUGCCAUUCCACAGAAUGCUACCACCUGUGUUUUUAAGGGGAAAAGGGGGCUAUUGGUAUUCCUCUUCUGGAAGCUGGUUAAGGUAAGUGGCACCACCUAUUACAAUGACAGGGCAAAUAAUGGCUCUGGUUGUUGUGUUUCUGUAUUAACUUUUUUUUCCAUGCUAUGACCCCGGCUUCCUAAGCAUCACCACCCUCCAUCAGAGCUUUAGCUACAAGUCACUGCUGUAAAAACACACACAGUCACUAUCAAUGAAUGUCAGCAGAGCAGCCACAGUGCCACAAAGGAUCCUGGAGACCAACAAAGCCGGCUGAUACAGUUGAGUGGAUCAUGCUCUUGAACUUGCUUUCAUAAUGAUGUAAUAUUACUAAAAGGCAAUGCAACACAGCAAAGAUCUUAAUAAAAACACAUCAAUCUCAA